GGAGAGAUGGCCGAGUGGUUUAAGGCAUAGCAUUGGAAUUGCUAUGUAGGAUUUUGUUGACCGAGGGUUCGAAUCCCUCUCUUUCCG
rfam:Capsicum annuum cultivar Zunla-1 chromosome 12, whole genome shotgun sequence